AUAAGUCUGCUUGUUUACAAUGUAAUAAGGCCUCAUCACAUCACUACGAGUUUUGUUGCCUUGUUCUGAAUCCAGGAAAUUGAGUCCAUUUUGUGCUGUAAAUUGGAGGUUUUACAAGUUACUGUCUAUAUUUUAGUUGUAUUGUGGUUUGAAAUGCACUCAUCAACCCUGAAAUAGAAAAAUAGCAUUGCAGUUCCCCUUUAAAUAACUAAUUUUUCCAUGCAAUGAUUGCACUUAAUCCUGUGCUAAAGAUUUAAGCCUCAUCUUUUUUUUGGGGGGGGGUAAAUCCAGUGUAUCUCAUGAUGUUUGUAACAAUUUCAUCUGAUCUGACAUACAUAAAACUACCUCCUGUGUGGAUGGAUAUUUCCUUUCGGCACUGGGAAAUCACUUUUUUACAACGUGAAACAGCAGGCACGAGUUCAAGCUAGGCCUCAUCUAAACAGCAGUUUUGUUUUUGGAAAUGUCGUGAGUACAUACAGUAUUCGUCAGCCUCUGGAGCGCCGAACAGAUCUUUAAAUCCCAAGCCUGAUGAUAAUGUUGUAAUAACUUUUCACUUUUUUUCCCACUUUAUGAGGUGUGCAUGACCUCUCAGUGUACCCAAUUGCAAAAGUGCUUCUGGUUAGUCCGUUAAUCCGUUAAUGACACUACUCACAGAAGGGUUUCUUGCUUAGUUUGGUGGCAAGAGGGUAAUUUUUCAAUAAAGCUGAACGUGUCCUGCUGUCUUUCUUUUAAUUAGGGUAUUAUAGCCUAAGGUUGCCGGAGAAUGAGGUAUUGCUAUUUACACAAUAUGGGUCAGAAAAGAUCAGUCUGUUACAAUGUGAUCCAUGUUCAAAAACCCUAGACGAUCUAGGCAGUUACCACUGUCUUGUAGGCGAGCAUGUAAGCGAGGUGUGCAUCCUCUUCUUACUGUUAUAAAGAAUGUAGAAUGUACUGCUUUUUCCUAAGCGGGAAGUUUCUUCUGUGUUGGUGCUCAGCUCCUUUCUCUGCAGUGUUUCAUGGCUGAAAACACAGUUUUUGCUGGCCAUUCAGUUUUUUUUAAAUUCUAGUUUACGUCAAUCACCUGGAGCGUGCCCAUAGAUACAGCGUGUAUAGUUUUCAGCUGCCCAACAGCAAUUGCAGGUCCAGAGGCCUGUCGUGACUACAUCUGCACAUUUUUGCCACUGGAUGGCGGUAUGGCCCUGAUAACAGGACUUGUGCUCCUCUUCCUAUCAGUAAGAACUACAGCUGUACUGUAAACCUUUAUACUAUUUAAAACUACUUUAAAACCUCUGACCUGUUGAGAAAGUGAGGAGGUUUCCCAACAACAUGAGGACAUUUGGCUCAUUUAGCCCACUUAGGUCACAGUAGCUAAUUGAUCCAAGGACCUCAUCCAGCCAUUUUUUGAAAGAACUUGGGACCUGGCUUUGGCACCAUGACUUUAUGCGACACUCCCACAACACUUUGUGUAUAGGAUUCGCCGUUUACAUGCAUUAACAAGUAUUUUUCAUAGCUAAUACUGUCCUCUAGUUUGGGUUUCUACAGCUGUUCUGUUCUGAAGAAGUGCACUGCUUUUGUCUUUGUCAUUGCCUUAGAGGGUUUUAAAUGCUUGGCUCAGGUCCCCUUGUAAUCCUGUCUGUUAAAGACUGAAAAGGCUUGUUUUCUUCAGCAAGGCAGUGUAGGAUGUUAAACCCAGUAAUGUAUCUGCCAACUUUUCUCUGGAAUGAUUCCUCUCUCAGCACGUUUGGGUUGUGUUCAGUGCUUGGACUUGGACCUAGAGCCCCUGCACCACAAACAAAAAAAAAUCAGCAUACCUGUAACUGCCUUUCUGUAGGGGCACCACCACUGUGCUCUUAAAGGGUUAAUUCCCACCUCCUGUGCUUCCUCCUUGCCAAGCACAUCACAACAUGAAGGGAGGCCUUUCUUUGGAUAAAGAGCGGUAUCUGUACAAGUUACCCAGCCAUCAUGGUGAAGUUGAACCGCUGGCCGCUUUCGAGAAAUAGCUGGAUGAGAUCCUUUGAUCAACGAGCUUCUCAUUGACAACAGGUUACAUGGUCCAAAUGUCCUCCUCUUGUCUGUGACCUUAUGUUCUUCAGUGGCUCCAAUGGGGUUCAUUAGAGUACUGGAUCCUCAACAUACAGUACACAGGCCAGGGAAGAAUGAACACCCCACCAUUUAAGUCAGGAAACUUUGAUCCAAGGGAUCAUGAUGCAAGUCAGUGGUGGGUGGUUGUAUCAUUCUACCCAAACUCUAAAUUCCCUCAUUGGUCGAGUUAUUGACCAUAACUGGACCAGUUUCACACUUUUCCCCUGUUAGAUAUGUAAUACACCUGUAAUAGCCGAUCGAUAGAGGGCACCCCUGAGAACUUUAAACUUUAAACAAUCGCUAACUGCAUAUCUACAGAAGUGCAGUACAAAGCGUGUUGACGCUUUUUCAAAAUGUUUUGGGUUUUAGUAUACAGUCUCAAGUUAAAAAUGAUUUGCUGACUUUGUAUGCUGUUCAUUGUUAUAAAAAAAAAUAGAACAAGCUGCAGUACCAACAGUUUUGUCAAAGAUCGAUAUUGACUGUUCUAGUUCUGUAAUGCCUUGAGGCGGGUUACAGUACAGGUAUACAACAAUGUUUGGUUACGGCUGUGUCAUCUUGUUAACGUGAGUGAGACAACGAAAGAGAGGAACAUACUACAGUUCUUGGCAGCGUCUACAACAUUUUGUACAUGUUGCCAUUUUGAACACUUGACGGAAAGGCUUUGGCUGCGUAAGGGCGAUGGCUUCAUGUCCGGUUUGAAUCGCACUUGCCAAAACUGAAGUCAACAGCAAUCCUGCGGGUGAAAAACAAAUUACAGUCCUGCAAAAUGUUACGUUUUGUAAUUGUGUGUAUUCAAGCUAAGACAUCCCUUCCAACCUGAGGGCUUCAUUCCAUAAUGAAACCAUGUUAUGUCAGAUGACAGUUGACUGUGGUAUUAUUCAACCUGAAGUUUUUUUUUUAAGAGGUUGGUUUUUCUUAAACAUUUUGUCCGUUUAAUGAGCUUUCCUGCAGUGUUUCUGGGGAGACGGCAUUUCACACAAAGAGGAGAAGAUGUGCCAGCCUUUUUCCAAGGUAAUCCGAAAAAGCGUAUUAUGCUUCAGAACCUGUCUCAGGUUUAAGGGGAAAAAAAUCUGUCUAAUCCAAUGACUGUUAUUUUUAAACGCUCAAGACCAUCACAGCUUUGUUAAAACACUGUACAAACCUUUAAUAGAAUAAUUCCACAUCCACAAUAAACGUAAGAUCUGCAUCAUG